GGGUGAAGGAGCUGAGGGUGUGAGCAGGGCUGCAGCGGGCAGGUCCAAGGUUGAAGAUGGUGGAUACACUGUCUCAGAAAAUGUGAGGUUGUGUCUCAGGAAUGGAGCGAUGAGUGUCUAUUGAGUUAAGGGCAGAAGGUAUUUGUGAGCCCUGUGGACUUUCUCUCAUAAGAGCAAUCAUCCCAUCUAUGAGGGCUCCAUCUUCAUGACCUCCUGAUCUUUCACAGGCCCCGUAUACUAACGCCAUCACUUCUGUGGAUUAGGAUUUCAACAUAUGGAUUCUGAGGAGACACAAACAUUUACGUCAUAGCAGUGGGAAUCCAGUUUUAUUCUUUAUCUGUGGCUAAUUGUUCCAGCACCACUUGUAGAAAAGACUCUUCUUUCCCCUAUCGACUUAUCUUGGCACACUUGUCAAAAGUGAAUUCAUCAGGAAGUUCCUGUGGUGGCUCAUUGGGGUUUUGAACCUGACUAGUAUCCGUAAGGAUGUGGGUUCAAUUCCUGGCUUCACUCUGUGGAUUAAGGAUUCAUCAUCGGUGGUAGCUGUGGUGUGUUGUAGGUUGCAGAUGCAGCUCAGAUGCUUACCUUAAUCCCCCAGGCUCCCUGUUUCCCUCAGCUUUCUCUUCUGCUCUCCUCUCCCCAGCACACAGGCAGGCCCCACGCAGGCAACCCACAGGCACACACAGCAUGCAAGCCCGGCCACGCCCCCCACGGCCUUCCCAGCACUACCGCUUCCCCCUCCCCCCAUUCUCUACCUUGAAUGUAACUUCAACGUGUCAACUAGAGCUAGAGUGUCCAUCCUUACCUUAAUCCUCAAGGCUCCGAGUUUCCCUCAGCUUUCUCCUCUGCUCUCCUUUCCCUGGCACACUCGCGGGCGCCAAGCAUGAAACACCCACGCAGGCACAGCAGGCAAGCCGGGCCCCGCCCCCCACGGCCCUCCCAGCACUACCACUUCCCUCUCCCUUUUUAAGACCUUGCUUCAACUCUGCAAAGGGAUCCCCUCCACCCUCUUCCAAUUCUCUACUCUGAAGCUAACUGCAACCUGGCAGCUGCAGCUCGCCCAUAUCAUCACCUUAAUCUUCCAGGCUCCCUUUUUCCCUCAGCUUUCUCUUCUUCUCUCCUCUCCCCAGCACACAGGCAGGCCCCACGCAGGCAACUCCCACACCCGCACUGCACGCAUCCCGGUCCCUGACCGCCAAGGCCCUCCCCGCACUCCCGCCUCACCCCCUCCCUUUCUGACAUCUUUCCUCAGCUCCUCAAGGGAUCCCCUCCACCCUCUUCCCCUCCUCUACACUCUAACUUCAACCUGGCAGCUGGAGCUAGAGUGCACAUCCUUACCUUAAUCCCAGAGUCUCCAGGUGUCCCUCAGUUUAGUCUUCUGCUCUCCUGUCCCAGCACACACGCAGGCCCCACGCACGCAUCCCCUACGCUAGCACUGCGCUCAAUCUGGUCUUCGCCCCCCUCGGCGCUCCCAAGGUUAUAGAUAUUCUGCAUACUCUAAAUACUCUACUUAGUAGAUUUUAUUGUUUUCAUUUUAUAUCGAAAUUUUACAGUACUUAAAUUACAUUAGUAGAGCUUAGUCAAGUGGAUGCAGGAUAAAACCAUUUAAUGUUUAAUAAUUUAAUUCCUCUUGUUUAGAAUAUUUUCACUCUUUUUACAGUACUGACUAAAACAUUUUAAGAAAUGGUAUCACUCUGAAGAUUGAUUUAUUAGAGUAAUUAAAAUUUAGGAAAGGAUGUAAAUUGUCAAACUGAUAUUUCAGAACUUGACUGAAAAUUUGCUGAAGAAGGAACUGGACUGUCCCCAGAGUUGAAACAUAAUGAAGAAUGUGUGAGUAAGAAGAAUAUACAAGCAAGCCUUCAUCCAAAAAACCUAGAUUGUCAAGAGCUUUAGUCAAGGUUAUCUGCAUCUGAAACUUCACUCCAGAGAAUAUAGGCAGAGUUGGGUGAAAAGGGAAAAGCUACUCAAAUGCUCAAAGAAGAAUUAUCAGAAGUGGAGACCAUGUACCAGCAUCUUAAG